UGGCGGACGGGUGAGUAACGCGUGAGAAUCUGGCUCUAGGUUCGGGACAACCACUGGAAACGGUGGCUAAUACCGGAUGUGCCGAGAGGUGAAAGGUUAACUGCCUGGAGAUGAGCUCGCGUCUGAUUAGCUAGUUGGUGGUGUAAGGGACUACCAAGGCGACGAUCAGUAGCUGGUCUGAGAGGAUGAUCAGCCACACUGGAACUGAGACACGGUCCAGACUCCUACGGGAGGCAGCAGUGGGGAAUUUUCCGCAAUGGGCGAAAGCCUGACGGAGCAAUACCGCGUGAGGGAGGAAGGCUCUUGGGUUGUAAACCUCUUUUCUCAGGGAAUAAGCAAGUGAAGGUACCUGAGGAAUCAGCAUCGGCUAACUCCGUGCCAGCAGCCGCGGUAAUACGGAGGAUGCAAGCGUUAUCCGGAAUGAUUGGGCGUAAAGCGUCCGUAGGUAGCAGUGUGUGUCUAUUGUUAAAGAGUUUGGCUUAACCAAAUAAAGGCGGUAGAAACUACACAGCUAGAGUGCGUUCGGGGCAGAGGGAAUUCCUGGUGUAGCGGUGAAAUGCGUAGAGAUCAGGAAGAACACCGGUGGCGAAAGCGCUCUGCUAGGCCGCAACUGACACUGA
rnacentral:rRNA from 1 species